rnacentral:lncRNA from 1 species
AAUAAUAAAAAUAAAAAAAUAAAAAAAAAAUCGGAAAAUUUAAAAAUCCAAAAAUAUUGUCUUGUUUCCCUUUUUGUUCUGAAUCAGAUUUUUUUUUGUUAGUUUCCCGACCCAAUGAUAUAAUUAGAUCAAAUUUGAAUCAUGAUUAUCAAGAACUUAGUUAACAUGUGUUUUGUGAAAUUCCUAAUUCUUUUGUUAGUUUUGUACAUGUUUGAUCAUCUUUGAAAAACCAAAUGCACAUAGCCUUGUUGAUGUGAAACUAAAGCAUAACUUAAAGCUUCAUAUGUGAAUUUAGUGACCAUCCUAUGUGAGUUUUUGAGCCGAUUGAAAGUGUGUGCAUUUUUCAUACACUCCUAUUUUUUUAUGUGUGAUGAACUUAUGUGAGAUACAUCUCUAGAACUUGCGUAACGAUCUUUCGAAAUGUUUGUCAUUGAUUGCAUGAAUUUGGAAAUGAUAGAGGCAUUAGGUUUACCACUAUGGCCCAAAUAACCAUGUUUCCCAAAGAAAAAUGAUAUCAUUAGAUUGCCAAGUUGAGCCGUGUUUGUUGAGCCUUUUAUUUCUUAUCACCAGAUAUGUCUACCCUUAUACCUGAAAUAUUUUUCCUUACCAUUUCCAAGCGAGCAAUGCGAGAUUGUCUUAUGAGAAACGGUUGUGAAGUACUUUGAAGGUGUUUGGCAAAAGAAUAAGUGUGGGGGUAUUUCAUGUUUGUAUAAAAAAAAUAAAAAUAAAAAAAAUAAAAAAAAAGAAGAAAAAAAGAAAAGAAAAAGAAAGAUUGUAUACAAAGAAAAUAAAAAGUUUUUAAAGUUUCAGUUUAAGGGUGUGAUUGGAGGUAUCAGAAGAAUCGUUGUAGAGCUUGAGUUCUUAUAAAUCUAAACAAAAGAAUUGCUUGCAAUGUAGCUUGGAACUUGUGUUUUCCUAUUCUU